CCUACGGGAGGCAGCAGUGGGGAAUAUUGGACAAUGGGGGGAACCCUGAUCCAGCCAUGCCGCGUGUGUGAAGAAGGCCCUCGGGUUGUAAAGCACUUUCAGUGAGGAAGAACGCCUGGUGGUUAAUACCCAUCAGGAAAGACAUCACUCACAGAAGAAGCACCGGCUAACUCCGUGCCAGCAGCCGCGGUAAUACGGAGGGUGCGAGCGUUAAUCGGAAUUACUGGGCGUAAAGCGCGCGUAGGUGGCUUGAUAAGCCGGUUGUGAAAGCCCCGGACUCAACCUGGGAACGGCAUCCGGAACUGUCAAGCUAGAGUGCAGGAGAGGAAGGUAGAAUUCCCGGUGUAGCGGUGAAAUGCGUAGAGAUCGGGAGGAAUACCAGUGGCGAAGGCGGCCUUCUGGACUGACACUGACACUGAGGUGCGAAAGCGUGGGUAGCAAACAGGAUUAGAUACCCGAGUAGUC
rnacentral:rRNA from 1 species